GUGCCACACUGCCAGAGGUUCAUGCUGAACUUCCAGCAUACUGGGAAUCUGAGAUCAUCUCCUUGCUGAAUACACCCAGCACCUGGAGAGUUCAGGUAAAGAGUCCUCCCACUUGCUGGGCCUGUCAUCCGUGGAAUCAGCAGGGGAUCUGUGUGUGCAAAGCAGAAUCGGUGGGGCUGUCCCUAGUGAGAAGGUUCCCGCUGUCCCCUGCAGGGAACACUGUGUUGGCAAAGCAGCAGCAGCAGCAGCUCUGCAGCCAUGCUGGCCACCAGCAAGCUCUGGGGUCUCUGUAGGGCCCACGCCCCAUAUCCGAGAGCUGUGUCCUCCUCCCUGCCCUGGGGCCCCUCCUCAUCCUCCCCUGUAUAGAGACUGUGGGUACUGCUGCCACCUUUCCUGCAGCCACUGCCUCCAGCACUGCUCAUGCUGCCCAGCCAAGCAGCACCCUCUAGCAGCACCUGGGCACUAGCUGGCUCUGGCCUCUGCUCCCUUCCUUCCUGCCACAGGCAUUUGAGAAAUACCUCAGGCCUGCUGAGAGGACAGGUGUCGUCCUUGUGGCCAUUGAGAUCUUGGGACGCUCCAGCCUCCAGGAGAAGCAAGCGCCAAUGGAGUUUCUGGAGGUGGCCAUGAAAUUCCCUGAGCUGUGGCUAAUGGAUCAACAAAGUCUAUCUGUGGAAGGCGAUGUUCUCUGUGCGCCAGACUCUGGAGAAGGUUUUGAAGGAGCUGCAAAUCCAGCUCCAGGACUGGCAUAGCAACAUCUUCACUCAGCAGCAGAAGUCUUGCCUCACAUUCUUGUCUGUGAGUCAUCAGGAAAAGCCCAUGUGCCCUUGCCCUCAGCUGCUGGUGGGACACAGGAGCUGUGCUGGGGGAGCCCUGCCAGCUUUCUGCUGCUUCCUUCCAGAUGCUGGUCUCUGAUGAUGUGGAUGAAGAUGAACUGGAUCCAUUGUACAAAGAGUUGAGAUCUCUGAAGUAUUCAGGAAUGGAAGUGGUCUCUUUGGUUCUCAGGGCCCUUGUGACACUGUCAGAGAGAGCUGAGACGGUGAGCAGGCUGCUGUCAAGGGCAGAAUGUGUCACCUGGACUCUGAGGUCUCAGGGAAGGUGGUGGCUUGUCCUGGGCUGUGAGUCAGGUGCUGGUGUGACUGCUCCAAAUGCCCUGCCUGCCAUGGUGUGGCCUGGUGGCUGCCUGGGGACUGACCAGGCACAGAAGCUCUCAGAAUGGAAGACAGAAUGGAAACUGUCUUUUACACAGGCAAGAAAAAUAAAGCAAGUCCUCCGAGAGUUCCUGAAAAUCCGAUGGGAAUGGUCUUGGGACAUUUCAGUGAUGGUCAUAGACAUCUUCCAAAAUGUGCUAGGGCACCUGAAGAAGAGAGAGGUCAGCCACAUGGCUGUGAAGGUGGUGCAGAAUCUCUGGCAGCUCUUUGAUGCGGUAAGGCUGAUGUGGGAGCCUGAGCCCUGCAGAGGGGCCCUGGGUAACGACAGCUUCCCUGCAGCCCUGGGAGCAGCACUGGGAGCAGGCCCCGCUCCCCUGGGCUCUCCUGGGAUAGAUUCUGGGCCUUGCAGAUUCUGGGCUCUGCUUCUGCCUGCUCUGGGCUGGGACUCUGGAGCAUCACCCCUCACCUCAGCUACCUCAGCUCAGCCCUUCCUGGCUGCAGGCAGGGAGCCACUGUGUGUGAAACUCACAUUUCCUCCUUCCUAUCAGAAGGAAGACUGUGUGCGGGAGCGCUCCAUCUGCCUCUUCAGAGACCUGCUGGGCAAAACAUUGUGUGAGGACAAGUGCAUCAUGAAGAAAUAUGCAUGGAAGGCCCUGGUCUGCCUCCUCCUUCACAUGAGUGACCAGGCCCCCAAUGUGGCCAAGAACUUGAAAUACUGGAAACAACAGAGAAGGAUGCCUCCAUCCGUUGCCUGGCAGCUCAGACCAGCUUGAUCCUGAAGUCUCUAAGCAAGCAGCGAAGAUCACGAUUCUCCCUGUGCAGGCUGUGCUGCUGGCGCCGCUGAGCAGAGAGGGACCUUCACAUCAGGCUUGUCAGGGGCACAAACUCAAACACCUGCUGAAUCAUGAGGUGUGAAAAGGGUGCCCUGGCUUUCUAAGGUCCUUCUCAAAGCAUAGCCCAGCAUUUCAAUGACCGUUGACUCUGCCAUUGCCCUGACCAGUAGGGAUCCAUUCCCUAUCACAUCUUGCCAGAGCUUCUCUGGCUCUAUCACUUCAGCCUGUGACAGGAAUGGGUCACACCCCGGGAGCAGGAUGACCCCAGGUGUGACUAGAGCACUUGCUCUACGGCGUUUUGGCUGUCAGACUGCACUCUGAGGAGACAAGGAUGAGAGGGAAGUCUUUUGCAUGGGAUAAUAGAGGAUUUAUUGCUCUGGGCAAUCUUGGGGGCGAAAGAGAGAAAAUUCAAGCAUGCAACAGCUGAAAUAGGGAGGCGGUUCCAAGGGAGGGUACAAAGCAUCAGCUAAUCAGAGAUAUCCUAGGGAGGGUAAAAGGCAGGGUUCACAAAAUCAUUAUCCAAUGAGGGAGGUAGGGGGGGAAAGUUGGGUCACAUGGACUAAUCAAGUGUUGAAGUUUAGGGGAUUUCCAAAGUGGAAUUCCAAGCAUGCAGUGGGCCUAAGACAGAUUGACAUGAGACUCAGGGUAGAUUGACAACAUGGGGUGGGAGGGUCUCAUUUGGACCAAACCAUCAACUUAGGUAAUGACAGAACAUAACAUUAACAAGAAACACCUUGCAACAAUUCCCCACAGCUCCUGAGCAUGGCAUGAGCUGGUCUAGAAUUACCCUGGGGUCAUAGCCAGUCCCCUCCUGGCUGCAGCCAAAUGGCUGAGCUGCCCUCCCUCAGCCCUUCUGCUCUUCUGCCUGCCUCCCUCAAGCUGGGCAAAAUGAGGACAGAGGUGCUGCCUGUGGAGACAUCCAGAUGCCAGUCCUGGGGUAGCUGCUGGGACAUCUUUUUAAUUCAUUCAAGACAGAAAAGGUUGCUUUAUGGCUCUGGAUGGUUUCUGUGCCUACUUCAAGUUCAUCUGUCAGCAGAAAGGUCAGGGCAGCUGUUGUGGGCUGCAUCCCUGUGAACGGCCACAUCCCCCCGAUGCGUUCACUUGUCUUCCUGGGCCUCGCAAUCGCCCCUUGUGCAUUCACAGGGGAUCUCAUGGGCUCUGCUUCUGUCACAGAAUCUAAAAUAUUGUGGACUAGAAAGAAGAAUCCUGGGUUCUUCAGACCUGGCUAUCUAAAAUGCUUGGAGAAGACCCAGUGUGGCUGGAUCAAACACAGCCACAGACCUUUUAAUACCAAUGAUAGUUGUAGAAAGUUAGUUAUCUUAUAUAUAUAAUUUAUAUAAGUAAACAAUAUAUAUGAAUUAUCUAUAAUAAAUUAUGUAUAAUAUCUAAACA
ensembl:lncRNA uncharacterized LOC111934852